rnacentral:rRNA from 1 species
UACAGAGGUGCCAAGCGUUGUUCGGAUUUACUGGGCGUAAAGGGUGCGUAGGCGGUCGGGUAAGUCGGAUGUGAAAGCCCGGAGCUCAACUCCGGAAUGGCAUUCGAAACUGCCCGGCUCGAGGUCUGGAGAGGUGACUGGAAUUCUCGGUGUAGCAGUGAAAUGCGUAGAUAUCGAGAGGAACACCAGAGGCGAAAGCGGGUCACUGGACAGAUUCUGACGCUGAGGCACGAAAGCCAGGGGAG